rnacentral:rRNA from 1 species
AUACGUAGGGUGCAAGCGUUAAUCGGAAUUACUGGGCGUAAAGCGUGCGCAGGCGGUUUUGUAAGACAGUGGUGAAAUCCCCGGGCUCAACCUGGGAACUGCCAUUGUGACUGCAAGGCUGGAGUGCGGCAGAGGGGGAUGGAAUUCCGCGUGUAGCCGUGAAAUGCGUAGAUAUGCGGAGGAACACCGAUGGCGAAGGCAUUCCCCGGGGCCUGCAGUGGCGCUCAUGCACGAAAGCGUGGGGAGCAAACAGGAUUAGAUACCCUGGUAGUCCACGCCCUAAACGAUGUCAACUGGUUGUUGGGGAUUUAUUUUCUCAGUAACUAAGCUAACGCGUGAAGUUGACCGCCUGGGGAGUACGGUCGCAAGGUUAAAACUCAAAGGAAUUGACGGGG